GAGUUUGAUCCUGGCUCAGGGUGAACGCUGGCGGCGUGCUUAAGACAUGCAAGUCGAACGGUCCCUUCGGGGAUAGUGGCGCACGGGUGAGUAACGCGUAACUGACCUACCCCAAAGUCGCGGAUAACGAUUCGAAAGAAUCGCUAAUACGUGAUGUGCUGUCAGAUUGUGUUCUGCCAGUAAAGAUUUAUUGCUUUGGGAUGGGGUUGCGUUCCAUCAGCUAGUUGGUGGGGUAAAGGCCUACCAAGGCGACGACGGAUAGCCGGCCUGAGAGGGUGGCCGGCCACAGGGGCACUGAGACACGGGUCCCACUCCUACGGGAGGCAGCAGUUAGGAAUCUUCCACAAUGGGCGAAAGCCUGAUGGAGCGACGCCGCGUGAGGGACGAAGGUCUUCGGAUUGUAAACCUCUGAAUCAGGGACGAAAGACGCGUAAGCGGGAUGACGGUACCUGAGUAAUAGCACCGGCUAACUCCGUGCCAG
rnacentral:rRNA from 1 species